AUUGAACGCUGGCGGCAGGCCUAACACAUGCAAGUCGAGCGAGCUUCGGACGGGUUCGUACUGUCUUUUAACCUGCCUGAUGUCGUGGGCUAACUCCUGGAAACGGUAUCUAAUACCCCCUCCCAUCCGCUUUGCCCCGCUGUUAUUGGCUAUUAGGUGUGGUAACGGCUCACCUAGGCGACGAUCCCUAGCUGGUCUGAGAGGAUGACCAGCCACACUGGAACUGCGACACGGUACAGACUCCUACGGGAGGCAGAAUGGGGGAAUAUUGCAAAAGGGGCGAAAGCCUGAUGCAGCCAUGCCGCGUGUGUGAAGAAGGCCUUCGGGUUGUAAAGAACUGUCAGCGGGGAGGCGUUAACGGAAGAAGAAGGAACGGCUAACUCCGUGCCAGCAGCCGCGGUAAUAG
rnacentral:rRNA from 1 species